GACGAACGCUGGCGGCGUGCUUAACACAUGCAAGUCGAACGGAAAGGCCCUUCGGGGUCCUCGAUUGGCGUACGGGUGAGUAACACGUGGGUGAUUUGCUCUGCACCUUGUGAUAAGCCUGGGAAACUGGGUCUAAUACCGAAUAGGACCACGCUCUUCAUGGCGUGUGGUGGAAAGCUUUUGCGGGGUGGGAUGGGCCCGCGGGCUAUCAGCUAGUUGGUGGAGUAAUGGCCUAUCAAGGCCACGGAGGGUAGCCGGCCUGAGAGGGUGGCCGGCCACACUGGGACUAAGGGACGGAGCAGAGUGGAACGGGGGGCAACGGUCGGAAGUAUUGCACAGUGAGCGCGAGCCUGAUGCGGAGGCGCCGCGUGAGGGAUGACGGCCUUCGGGUUAAGAACAUCUUUAGAUAGAGACGAAGCGCAAGUGACGGUACCUAAAGAAGAAGCACCGGCUAACUACGUG
rnacentral:rRNA from 1 species